rnacentral:rRNA from 1 species
ACGAACGCUGGCGGCGUGCCUAAUACAUGCAAGUUGAGCGAUGAAGAUUGGUGCUUGCCCCAAUUUGAAGAGCAGCGAACGGGUGAGUAACGCGUGGGGAAUCUGCCUUUGAGCGGGGGACAACAUUUGGAAACGAAUGCUAAUACCGCAUAACAACUUUAAACAUAAGUUUUAAGUUUGAAAGAUGCAAUUGCAUCACUCAAAGAUGAUCCCGCGUUGUAUUAGCUAGUUGGUGAGGUAAAGGCUCACCAAGGCGAUGAUACAUAGCCGACCUGAGAGGGUGAUCGGCCACAUUGGGACUGAGACACGGCCCAAACUCCUACGGGAGGCAGCAGUAGGGAAUCUUCGGCAAUGGACGAAAGUCUGACCGAGCAACGCCGCGUGAGUGAAGAAGGUUUUCGGAUCGUAAAACUCUGUUGGUAGAGAAGAACGUUGGUGAGAGUGGAAAGCUCAUCAAGUGACGGUAACUACCCAGAAAGGGACGGCUAACUACGUG